rnacentral:rRNA from 1 species
UACGUAGGUGGCGAGCGUUGUCCGGAUUCACUGGGUGUAAAGGGCGUGUAGGCGGGAUAGCAAGUCAGGUGUGAAAUACCAAGGCUUAACCUUGGGGCUGCAUUUGAAACUGUUAUUCUUGAGUGUCGGAGAGGAAAGCGGAAUUCCUAGUGUAGCGGUGAAAUGCGUAGAUAUUAGGAGGAACACCAGUGGCGAAGGCGGCUUUCUGGACGAUAACUGACGCUGAGGCGCGAAAGCGUGGGGAGCAAACAGGAUUAGAUACCCUGGUAGU